ACCGUGGUAAUUCUAGAGCUAAUACAUGCUAAAAACCCCGACUUCGGAAGGGGUGUAUUUAUUAGAUAAAAAACCAAUGCCCUCUGGGCUCCUUGGUGAUUCAUAAUAACUUAACGAAUCGCAUGGCCUUGCGCCGGCGAUGGUUCAUUCAAAUUUCUGCCCUAUCAACUUUCGAUUGUAAGAUAGAGGCUUACAAUGGUCUUAACGGGUAACGGGGAAUUAGGGUUCUAUUCCGGAGAGGGAGCCUGAGAAACGGCUACCACAUCCAAGGAAGGCAGCAGGCGCGCAAAUUACCCAAUGCUAAUUCAGCGAGGUAGUGACAAUAAAUACUGAUACGGGGCUCUUUCGGGUCUCGUAAUUGGAAUGAGUACAAUCUAAAUCCCUUAACGAGGAACAAUUGGAGGGCAAGUCUGGUGCCAGCAGCCGCGGUAAUUCCAGCUCCAAUAGCGUAUAUUAAAGUUGUUGCCGUUAAAAAGCUCGUAGUUGAACCUUGGACCUGGCUGAUCUGUCCUCCUAAUCGAGCGCACGGAUUCGGUCGGGUCUUUCCUUCUGGGGAGCCCUAUGCCCUUCACUGGGUGUAGUGGGGAACCAGGACUUUUACCUUGAAAAAAUUAGAGUGUUCAAAGCAGGCCUUUGCUCGAAUACAUUAGCAUGGAAUAAUAGAAUAGGACAUCGGUUCUAUUUUGUUGGUUUCUAGGACCGCUGUAAUGGUUAAUAGGGACAGUCGGGGGCGUCAGUAUUCAAUUGUCAGAGGUGAAAUUCUUGGAUUUAUUGAAGACUAACUACUGCGAAAGCAUUCGCCAAGGAUGUUUUCAUUAAUCAGUGAACGAAAGUUAGGGGAUCGAAGACGAUCAGAUACCGUCGUAGUCUUAACCAUAAACUAUGCCGACUAGGGAUCGGACGGUGGUUUUUUUAUGCCCCGUUCGGCACCUUACGAGAAAUCAAAGUUUUUGGGCUCGGGGGGGAGUAUGGUCGCAAGGCUGAAACUUAAAGAAAUUGACGGAAGGGCACCACCAGGCGUGGAGCCUGCGGCUUAAUUUGACUCAACACGGGGAAACUCACCAGGUCCAGACAUGCUUAGGAUUGACAGAUUGAUAGCUCUUUCUUGAUUGUAUGGGUGGUGGUGCAUGGCCGUUCUUAGUUGGUGGAGUGAUUUGUCUGCUUAAUU
rnacentral:rRNA from 1 species